UACGGGGGGGGCAAGCGUUGUUCGGAAUUACUGGGCGUAAAGCGUGCGUAGGCGGCUCUUCAAGUCGAGUGUGAAAUCUCCAGGCUUAACCUGGAAAGGUCGCUCGAUACUGUUGAGCUAGAGUGUGGAAGGGGCUACUGGAAUUCCGUGUGUAGCGGUGAAAUGCGUAGAUAUCGAGAGGAACACCUGCGGCGAAGGCGGGUUGCUGGGCUGACACUGACGCUGAGGCGCGAAAGCUAGGGGAGCGAACGGG
rnacentral:rRNA from 1 species